rnacentral:misc_RNA from 1 species
ACGUGUUCGUUCGGCCGUCGGGUCGGCCCUGCACCGGCGGAGACGCCGUGCUGCGGGCUCCCGGCGCGCCUUCCAAACCAAACCCCUGUGAACCUUUUGGGAGGGCCGAGCUCCGGCGACGCCGUCCCCUUUACAAACUCUUUGCAUCUCAUAGAAUGACCGCGGACAUUCGUCUGCCUAAACACAUAA